rnacentral:lncRNA from 1 species
GCCCGGGGGCGGGCGCGGGGCGGGGGGCGCGACCCCUCAGCCGCCCGAGGGCCCGGGCCGGGCUGGGGCGAGGCGUCCGGGGCCCACGGAGGAAGAGGGACGGGGAGUGGGGAAAGGAGCCGUGCAGUCGUUGCCCUCAUGCCUGAGGACCCAGAGGGUCCUGUAUCUGGAAACUCAGGUGUCACCUGCAAAAGACCAAGGACCAUGGGGAAUUCAUCCUGCCUCACAGGAGCAGACCAUGGUGGUGGAGGGGGUUGGUGAGGUAAUUUUUUUAAUAGUUUUUUUUUAAGAUUUAUUUUAUUUAUUUCUGACC